CUUGGCGAUCAUUUGGCAGCGGUGGCAGCUCGUGGGAACACGUACUAAUCGAGGAAUCCUGCUUGUUACAGCUGAUGCCUUUUGGUGGAGCUUCGUACGGGAACUACUGCUGAUUACCUGGUGCCAUAACGUUGGAUGCAUUUAUAUAGAGCGAAAUAAACAUUUACUCAUUUACAA